GACCGAGGGUGCAAACGUUGUUCGGAAUUACUGGGCGUAAAGGGCGCGUAGGCGGCCUGCUAAGUCGAACGUGAAAUCCCCGGGCUCAACCCGGGAACUGCGUCCGAUACUGGCAGGCUUGAAUCCGGGAGAGGGAUGUGGAAUUCCAGGUGUAGCGGUGAAAUGCGUAGAUAUCUGGAGGAACACCGGUGGCGAAGGCGGCAUCCUGGACCGGUAUUGACGCUGAUGCGCGAAAGCCAGGGGAGCAAACGGG
rnacentral:rRNA from 1 species